GACGGGGCCCGCACAAGCGGUGGAGUAUGUGGUUUAAUUCGAUGCAACGCGAAGAACCUUACCUGGUCUUGACAUCCCCGGAAGACCCUUAGGAAACGUAGGGGGUGGCCUUUCCAUCUGGGAAGAAUCUGGAGACAGGUGCUGCAUGGCUGUCGUCAGCUCGUGUCGUGAGAUGUUGGGUUAAGUCCCGCAACGAGCGCAACCCUUGCCUUUAGUUGCCAGCAGUUCGGCUGGGCACUCUAAAGGGACUGCCGGUGUUAAACCGGAGGAAGGUGGGGAUGACGUCAAGUCCUCAUGGCCUUUAUGACCAGGGCUACACACGUACUACAAUGGCCGAUACAAAGGGCAGCGACACUGCGAGGUGAAGCCAAUCCCGUAAAAUCGGUCUCAGUCCGGAUUGGAGUCUGCAACUCGACUCCAUGAAGUUGGAAUCGCUAGUAAUCGCGCAUCAGCCAUGGCGCGGUGAAUACGUUCCCGGGCCUU
rnacentral:rRNA from 1 species